UACGUAGGUGGCAAGCGUUGUCCGGAUUUACUGGGCGUAAAGAGCGCGCAGGCGGUCGUGCAAGUCGCGUGUGAAAGCCCCCGGCUCAACUGGGGAGGGUCACGCGAUACUGCUCGACUUGAAGGCAGGAGAGGGAAGUGGAAUUCCCGGUGUAGUGGUGAAAUGCGUAGAUAUCUGGAGGAACACCGGUGGCGAAGGCGGCAUCCUGGACCGGUAUUGACGCUGAGGCGCGAAAGCUAGGGGAGCAAACGGG
rnacentral:rRNA from 1 species